GACGAACGCUGGCGGCGUGCUUAACACAUGCAAGUCGAACGGAAAGGCCCUGCUUUUGUGGGGUGCUCGAGUGGCGAACGGGUGAGUAACACGUGAGUAACCUGCCCUUGACUUUGGGAUAACUUCAGGAAACUGGGGCUAAUACCGGAUAGGAGCUCCUGCUGCAUGGUGGGGGUUGGAAAGUUUCGGCGGUUGGGGAUGGACUCGCGGCUUAUCAGCUUGUUGGUGGGGUAGUGGCUUACCAAGGCUUUGACGGGUAGCCGGCCUGAGAGGGUGACCGGCCACAUUGGGACUGAGAUACGGCCCAGAAUCCUACGGGAGGCAGCAGUGGGGAAUAUUGCACAAUGGGCGGAAGCCUGAUGCAGCAACGCCGCGUGCGGGAUGACGGCCUUCGGGUUUUAAACCGCUUUCGCCUGUGACGAAGCGUGAGUGACGGUAAUGGGUAAAGAAGCACCGGCUAACUACGUG
rnacentral:rRNA from 1 species